CAUACCAAUUGUUGCCUCGGCGGAUCAGCCCGCUCCCGGUAAAACGGGACGGCCCGCCAGAGGACCCCUAAACUCUGUUUCUAUAUGUAACUUCUGAGUAAAACCAUAAAUAAAUCAAAACUUUCAACAACGGAUCUCUUGGUUCUGGCAUCGAUGAAGAACGCAGCAAAAUGCGAUAAGUAAUGUGAAUUGCAGAAUUCAGUGAAUCAUCGAAUCUUUGAACGCACAUUGCGCCCGCCAGUAUUCUGGCGGGCAUGCCUGUUCGAGCGUCAUUUCAACCCUCAAGCCCCCGGGUUUGGUGUUGGGGAUCGGCGAGCCUCACGGCAAGCCGGCCCCGAAAUAUAGUGGCGGUCUCGCUGCAGCUUCCAUUGCGUAGUAGUAAAACCCUCGCAACUGGUACGCGGCGCGGCCAAGCCGUUAAACCCCCAACUUCUGAAUGUUGACCUCGGAUCAGGUAGGAAUACCCGCUGAACUUAAGCAUAUCAAUAAGCGGAGGA
rnacentral:rRNA from 1 species